rnacentral:rRNA from 1 species
CUGAGAAACCCAAAAGAUCGAAUGGGGAGAUUCAUCGUCAGCGUGGCAUGACGCUUGUGCGGUUCGCGAUGUCGAGGGCCUCGGUCCUACGGCACGCGUCCGCAUGGUUUUUUUGUCUGUCAUCGUCGGCGUGCACUUCUCCCCUAGUAGGACGUCGCGACCCGUUGGGUGUCGGUCUACGGCCCGGGUGGUAGCCUGUCGUGUGCACGGUUCAUCCCGUCAUGCGGCAGACCCCCGGUCGCCCGACCAGCUGCCCGGCGGUACUCGCACGGUAUCGAGCCGCAAUUUUGCGUCCGGCCCGUCGCAAGCUUGGCGCGUGUAUACCCGGAUGUACGGACCUAGCGCCGUCACCGGGCCUCGCCAGCUGUUGGUUGAUGGUGCUCUCGGACCGGCUCAUAAAAUUAUAAGUUACCGGUCGGCGACGCUACUGCUUUGGGUACUUUCAGGACCCGUCUUGAAACACGGACCAAGGAGUCUAACAUGUGCGCGAGUCAUUGGGACUUGUUAAGCCUAAAGGCGCAAUAAAAGUGAAGGUCGGCCUUGCGCCGACCGAGGGAGGAUGGGCCGCGUCACGAUGCGGUCCCGCACUCCCGGGGCGUCUCGUUCUCAUUGCGAGAAGAGGCGCACCCAGAGCGUACACGUUGGGACCCGAAAGA